ACGGAGUUCUUGAGGAAUGCGGCUUCGGCCAAAUGACUUUUGAACUUAGUGGCGGACGGGUGAGUAACGCGUGAGCAACCUGCCUUUCAGAGGGGGAUAACAUUUGGAAACAGAUGCUAAUACCGCAUAAGAUUACAGUACCGCAUGAUACAGUGAUCAAAGGAGCAAUCCGCUGAAAGAUGGGCUCGCGUCCGAUUAGAUAGUUGGUGAGGUAACGGCUCACCAAGUCGACGAUCGGUAGCCGGACUGAGAGGUUGAACGGCCACAUUGGGACUGAGACACGGCCCAGACUCCUACGGGAGGCAGCAGUGGGGAAUAUUGCACAAUGGGCGAAAGCCUGAUGCAGCAACGCCGCGUGAGGGAAGACGGUUUUCGGAUUGUAAACCUCUGUUUUCGGUGACGAAUAAAUGACGGUAACCGAGUAGGAAGCCACGGCUAACUACGUGCCAGCAGCCGCGGUAAUACGUAGGUGGCAAGCGUUAUCCGGAAUUACUGGGUGUAAAGGGAGCGCAGGCGGGAUAGCAAGUCAGCUGUGAAAACUAUGGGCUCAACCCAUAAACUGCAGUUGAAACUGUUAUUCUUGAGUGGAGUAGAGGCAAGCGGAAUUCCGAGUGUAGCGGUGAAAUGCGUAGAUAUUCGGAGGAACACCAGUGGCGAAGGCGGCUUGCUGGGCUCUAACUGACGCUGAAGGC
rnacentral:rRNA from 1 species